GUCAAUCAACCGCAGGAGGACCGUCCACCGUGCCUUACCUAGCGAUAAUUAAGUGUUUUGGGACUUUGUGCUGCAUUUCUAAAAGAUGGAGCGACUAAUUCUCACAGUCACACCUCUCGGAAUGGAAAUACUGGUGGUUAUUUCAGCCGGAACUGCUGAAACGUGAGGCGCACUGCUGUGAACCAUUAGAGUAAAUUUGGCGCUGUAACAGGUGACGAGCACGAGGGAACAAUCAAAGUAAGUUAAAACAUAUUCUUUACCGGGUUUUCUUUAUUGUAUUAUUAUUUUUUUAAUAUCUGGUGAUUUAGCCCUCUGCUUUUUUCCUCUAAGUCUUCCUCGAGACCUUACUAAAUUUGCGUACUUUGAAAAAAUGAAGCUUAACCGUUAAAAAAAUAUAUAAAAAAAAUAAAAACACGAGUGCAAAAUUACCCCCCCCCCCCCCAAAAAAAAAAAAAAUAAAUAAAUAAAUCUGUAAGUUGUUCAGUCUAAACCUUAUACCCUUGUUUGAUUGAUACCCUCCAAAUAUUUAAAAUCGUCUUUUUUCAUCCUAUUUCACAGUCAAUAAGUAUAGAGCAUUAAAUUAUUUACUUAUUUUGAGGAUGCAACAACAAUUACUCCACAAGCAGAAAUGUUAAUUGUAAAUCGCAUGCAAAAAAAAGAUUAAUAAAAUUUGUAGAUUAACUGUGUGCCUGGAUUAAAUAAAGCAAACACAAUGACUAAAAUGAUAUUUUUAAAUUAACAUAAAGUUACAAUUAAAGCUUCCAUACACAAAUCACAGCCUUUCUUUUUUUUAACUCUCAAAAUGAGUCACACAGCUUGAAAUGUAAUGCCAAUAAAAAUAUAUGUAUCUAGUGAAAAUUAAAAAAGUUAUCAUAAACUUAGUCUUGAUUGUGGCAUUAUUUUUCUACAGUUUUAUUGAAGAUAUUAAAGUGAGGUCAGAAAAAUACAGACAGGAUUUAUAGUUCAUUCCAUAAUUGAAAAUAAUAGUCUGCAAAGUUGAGUCUGCCUCCACUCACUCAAAAACAUUGAGUGAAAUUAAAAAGAACUGUUUGGUCAGCUUAAUGACUUCAAAACAAAAUAAAAAACUUUACUUCUAGGGCACUUUAAUUUUGCAUAUUGAGUGAUUUCUUUUCAAUAUAGGAAAAGGAAUUGGAGUUUAACAGUGAAUGGAUAUUUAAUAUCUCCUUUCUGCAUCAAUUCACAUUUGUGCAGUAAAUUUUGCUGUCACUUACAUUUGGAAAACUACUAAAUGAUUAAUUGUAUCUGGUAUUGUCAUGUGAAGCAUUAGUAGCUUGAAAAACAGAUCCAGUUACACUAUUCCUCCAACUUCUUGUGGCAUAACUCAGAGUAGCUAACCAUCUUUCAUGCGUCACAAGGACGGCAUCAUGUGAUUAAACAGAACGGGAUGUCAGUGAGGUUGACCUGUGCAGCGAUUAUUUUCAAUGACACAGUCCAACAAAGGAGAGUCAAAGUGAAAUGCAAGUUCCCCCUGGGUGCAAAAACUUCUCUGUCUGUGCAUGAAUCAUAAUAAACUUGCAAUCGGUCUAAGUGACAUUUGCUUGGACCAUGUCAAAAAUAAUCUUUGGGAAUUGUUGGAAUUGUGCCAUUUUUGCAUGAAGCACAAAAGAUUCUGGCAAGCCAUUAUUUUGCCAGAAUAAAUAAAAAUCUUAGAUUUAGAAAUAAAUAUGUAAAUAAUUAAAAUCGCUUAAACUUUUAUGGGUUUUCUGCUGUUUUAAUGAGUCUACUCUUUAACGAGUGGGCCAAAGUUGGCAUAAAACGGCAUGUAAAUUUACUGAGUCUUCUAAGCCAUAGCCAUAUUUUUAUUGUUUCCUAAAAGAAGUAUGAAACUCAUUUCAUCCCCAAGAAGCCUCUCGAUAUCUUUCAACACAGACUUACAAUGACUAAAGAGUAAAACACUGCUCGGUUUUUAUAUGACAGGCCACAGAGACAGAUGCCACUGGGAUACAGUGAAGCAGCUGCAGACGUUAUAGAUAUGCCAAAACAUUUCUCCUUUGUUUUAGAUUCAGAGAUACCCCAGGAGAAAGUAUGCAGGAAAUUUCCAAUGUACACAAAGCUGUCAAAUUUCUUCUCAUACGGGGGGGUGGGGUGGGGUGGGGUGGGGGGUGGGGGGGGGGGUGAUGGAGACUGAAGAAAAGACAUAUAGCCCAUAAAAAGCUGGUCCUCAAAAGUACUCAGGAGGAUUCACAGUACAAGUGAUCCUCAUGAGCAUAAGAAAGUACAGAAAGCUGCUCUGGAAGCAAGAAUUCAGAAUAAAUGAUUUGUCAUCAAACAUGCCUUUCUUGUAAUGUGCCACGUUGAAACCGAGCAGCAGGGCUCUCACGGGUUAAACUAGCCGGCUUGAUUUAUUUGCCUCCGCUGGGUUUGACUGUAUUGAUUCCAGGUCACUUGACUGGCUGACUUCAGAUCAUGUUCAGGUGACUUCAACACAGAUGGAACAAAACGGCAGGGCACCGAGAAAGCAACUUUCCCCUCCCAUAAUGAGUUCCAUACAGACUCAGUAUUGAGCGGAGCCUGAAGAGAAGUGAAAGAUGUUGGAGAAAUGAUAUUAAUACGCCUCUAAUAUUGCCCACAGAGAUCUUUCUGCCACGCUAUGUUAUAAAGGCGGCAGAGUAAUAAAAUAAGUUUAAUAGAGAACAGAGAUGUCUGAAUGGUAUAAAUCCUCUCCUGUUCCUCUGAGGCCUCUUAAUGCAACAAAACCAAAGCACACCAUACUGCACUAUUCCAGUAAUGUGCGCUUUGUCUCAGCAGAAUCAAAACAGCCUGUUUUAGAGUUACACUCAUCACAGAAAUCCACAGUAAAUAGAAAACAAACCUCAUGAUACGUGAAACAAAUCAACUGUUAAAUUAUCUUCUAAUAAUGCAGUGCAGUGAGGAGAAACUGAUUUCAGCUCAGAUAUGCUUGAAAAAUUGCAGCUCACAGUUUAUCAGAUAUAUCACUAAAUUACAUUAUGAGAGAGCAUCCUUUUGACCAGAGGCAUGCUGGGAAAUGAAGCUACAUAUCAUCAGGAAUGCAAAGUCAGCAUUAUUUAGCAUGUCUGCAUCAUUUUAUGCAAAUAUAAUCGCUUUGUAUAUCCUUUAGAGUCUAUUAUCAAUACAAAUAAAAUGUGGGUUUAUGAUUUAAUGACCAAACAAAGUGGUGAUACAUUUACUGUACAGGGAACAUACUGCAUAUGAACCACAUCAUGAGAUGCAUUGAUAGAAAUUAUGAUGUUUGCGCACAACCUUUAACUCUCUUUAACUCUAAAACAAUUAAUGAUAAAUCAUUAAAGCAGCAUAUAAAUGUGGAUUAUUUCAUUGCAGUUUUAUCCUGAAAUUAAUUAAAAAUAAUUAGAAAAAUUAUACUUUAGUAACACCCAUGAAACUACUACUCAAAACUUAAGUCUUGUUUCUUGCAGCUGCUGUAUAAAAAUAUAGUGGUACAUUAAAUUUUUAAUAACUUAUCUGAAAUAGCUUCUUGUUCCUUGCAGGUUUGUAUUGAAGAUUUCUACAAUGGCAGAGAAGAAAAUUUUCCUAUAAUUUUGCAUUUUCUCAAAACUAAUUUUAUCUGCCAAAUUAUUUAAUUAUUUUAAACAAAAACUCUAAAUGAGAAUAAGUCAAAAAGAAACUGAAAAAUCUUUAUAUUAAAUCUAUAAAUAUACCCUUUUAUAUAAAUAAGAAUAAUAAUCAACAACCACACAUUUAGUUUUAGAUUUUCACCAACAUAUUCGGCUAACAUGGUCAAAGUAAAACUUUUGUGCAGCAGUUUAAUCAGACGAUUCAGUUAUAAUAUUUUUAUUAAAAUAUCAUCAUAAAACAGUAUGAAUUGUUAGGUAAACUGUUAGCAAAACAGAAGUAAAGUAUGGAAAUGUUUUGUUGUGCAUCAGAGUGGAUGAGUGCUGUGGGUUUCCUUUGCAAAGCUGUGUGACGUGUCAUUGCAUCAACACUGCCACCGAGAGGUCAACAGUAGAACCCUUCAAGUGUCCUUUUUACCAAAACACGUGAAACUCUCUAUUUAGAAUAAUAUUUUGAUAUAAGCUAAAGGUGGCCUUGAGUAUUGGCUCUCAUUUUUUAAUGCAGCUGUUUGUAGAUGCAGGCCAUGAAAAUUUAGGUAUGUUUUGACCUAUAAAGUAAGUUUUCUCAGAAGAGAAGUGGCAUCAAAAUAGAUUAAUGUGCCUGGGGCUCAAUUAUGGAUAACUGUCUCGCACAUAUACAAAUAUGUGUAUAUUUUUAAAAGAAAAGUUUGAAUUUAACUCUGAAUUAACCAUCUUAAAGAUAAUUCUCUUUUCAGUUUUUAAAUGCGUCAAGGACUUGAGUCAUCUCAAAACCUAUAUGCAGAAAAAUAAAAAUGUGCAUAAAACAAGCAAAAAUGCUGAUACAUUUGUUGGUGUAGGGCUGUUUUUAUUGCUUGGAUGUUAAUGAAUAUAAAUUAUUUAUCUGGGCUGUUGAAAGAGGCCAGCUUUCAGUUCAUCUAAAUGGAUUUGAACUUUGAAUUAAAUCAGAGAAUUUGACUCUAUCCCCCCAGUGACUCCCGUUAUCUGGAGUUAAACACAGGCUACGUCAUGUCAGUGAGGAUGAAAUGAAGCAAAGGAGGGUUGGCACACUUUAAGCUAUCUUUAUCCGUUAGCAUAUUGAGCUUGAACUUAACCCAUUCAAAACGGCCACUCUGGUCUGGAAUCGAUUUCACCUCAAGCUCCAGAGGGCUUACGGUGAGGUAUUGCACUCAGUCGGCAUCGGCAGCUGGAAAAAGAGGAAGGAAAUAAAAUGGCCGGCUCUCCAUAAAAAGUUGGUGUGUGAUCCCUGACCCUGCGCUGAGAAAGAGCCACUGACUCCUCUAAUCUAAGGGGACCUUUAGCAUGUGGAUUAACCUUAGCCGAGAGCACGUUUGCACAAAGAGGAGGAGGAGGACUGACUGUGUUAAACCCUAACAAGUGGAAAAAUCAAACCCUAUUUGAAAAAACUCAGUCUUUACCUUAAGUUUUAUUUAUUUUGAUUUGUCCUACCAGACAAAAGUGACUUUGUUUGCAACUUUCUGAAGUUAAACUGCACUGCUACAGAAGACAUGGAGACACUCCUAAUUAUAAAAAGACAUUUAUUCAGAGCUCAAGACAAAGAAAAAAAACAGAGACUGUCUGCUUAUCUGUCCUAAAUAGUUGACUGCACCCGACCUCACCACCACCUUCCCAGCAUAUUGGUUUACCCCUGCCAAAAAUUUAAUUCAAUCCCACUUAGUUGCUCCAGCUUUAAUUAAAUCGACCAAAAGCCCUGGCAGGAUUUAAUUCACUUCCUUGUUAAGUGAACUUUACAGACACUGUAGAACUUUCACUAGCGAACUGUGGGGACAUGAGGGGAAGGACACUUAAAGUUUAACUGUCUUAGAAUUAAAAAAGGCUAAUUCAAGGCACUAAUCUGUGUGAGGCUAAGACAGAAAUCAGUGUCGUCGUUGCUUUAGGGUGGUGUCUGUGAUAGUUAAAAAGAAAUGUGGGGGGAUGUUGCACGCCUGUUGCAAAGCAGACAACACUUUUUACCAUCAUAAUAAAUCUCAGCGCCAUAAAACUGAGGCCCAGUAAAACGUGAUUCGGCUGACAGUCAUGAAGAAAUGAAUGCCUUGAUGAAAUGGCAGUCAUCAAUCAUGGCGUAGGUUUUGGAUGCUAACGUCCCGGCUUAGCUCUCUACUAAUUGAUAAGAACUGUGGGCAUAAAUCAGCUGCUGUGUGUUGAUGCUUUGUGCUGUUGUCGCUGUGGUUUGUGUUUCAGAGCCACAGAUAAAUUUUCCCAUCGUACAGACUGAGCAGAAGACGACAUGAGUUGAAGUCAUUUUCCAGUGAUGUGGCGAAUACUUAAAUUUUCUCUGGGACAAGAGUUAGAGCCACAAACCCGUUUGUCAAAAACUUCAAACUAAUCACCAACUACAAUUGAUUGUAAUGUAUUAUCAGAAAUACUAUAAGGCAAGGAAAGUUACUUUUGUCUGAGUCUGACAAAAUAAAUAUGAAUAUUUCCUCAUGUAGCCAAUCUGAUUUUUUAUUGUUUAGUCUUUUUGACAUUGAGUUUGCUGUUCUUCCUAAAAGUCUGUGGUAUAAUUAUAAUAUUUUUGUGUUUUGAUUUUGUUACAGGUACCUUACUUGAUUCUUUUUCAUUCACGAAAAAAACCCUGGUAGUUUAGUAUUCCUCCAAGAAUCUGUGAACCACUAAAUGUGUUUGCUUUUUGGACCAACAAUAAUACAUUUUAGAAACACUGUGCAUUUCAUAAAUAAGCUGCGUUAAUUAGCAUAGUAAAAUGAAAUAAAUAGAAUCUGAUUUUUACAAUCUCACUUUUUAUUGUUUAGUCAUUUUGACGUAGAGUUUGCUGUUCUUCUUAAGAGUCUGUGGUAUAAUUAUAAUAUUUUUGUGUUCUGAUUUUAUUACAGGUACCUUACUUGAUUCCUUUUCAUUUACGAAAAAGCCUUGGUAGUUUAGUAUUCCUCCAAAAAUCUGUGAACCACUUAAUGUGUUUGCUUUUUGAACCAACAUAAAUACAUUUUAGAAACACUAUGCAUUUCAUACAUAAGCUACCUUAAUUAGCAUUGAAAAAUGAAAUAAAUAGAAUAAAAAUCAACAGUUAUUCCUGUCCCAAAAGAAAACCAACCCCUCUAUGGAAGUUUCGAGUCGGUUCAGUUUCAGUAUGACCUUGACAGCAAAACAUUUCCCUGAUAGUGUAACUUCAAAAAUUUGGCUCCGCCUAUGUCAAGUUUGAACACUUUUUAAAAAGGGUACUUGCAGUUUUUCACUCUUGGGGGAAAUUUGGACUUACAAAAAAUGCUUAGACCACAACUCUGUAUAACUUAAUUUAUAAAUCAUUAGAAAUCAUGUUGUGUGUGAUAUCUGAGUUAAACGGUGCCAAAUAUUGAGCACAACUUUUCAGCCUUUUUUUUUUAACCAAAUCAUUCAGCUUUUGAAGUCAUUCAUUUGCAGCCACUUGCUAUAGUCAAGAAAACAAUGCCAGACCAUUUCACAAAUAAAGUCAAAAGGCUUUAUUUUGACGGCACAACACCUAAUGAUAAAUAAUAAUACAUUUUGUUUGUAUUGUUCUUUACAUUUUUACAAUCUCAAAGUGCUAUAGGGUAAGAUAAAAACAAUUAAAGUUAAUGUAAUAAAAAUAGGCAAUUAAAAAGAGUCAAGAUAUAUGGAUACUUAAAAGGGAGAACCUUUAUUUGAUAUUGGCACUUUUGUGAAAGUUCUAGUUGUGUUAAGUUUGAACAUUUUGAAAUCUUCCUCUGCAGUUUUUAAAUCUGGAGAGAAGUUUUGUCUCGUGAGAAAAACGCUCUUUCAUCAACUAACUUUCCCAGCUGGAAAAUAUGAGCAACCUGACUGACUGAAGUUUUUCUGCAAAUGGUCAAAAGCAGAAGUCAUGGUUCAUACAAAGCCUUCUAUACACAUUAGCACAUUUUCCUUCACACAACAAACCAUGACUGUCCAUGACUAGGUUCAUGAACUCUGGCAAUAUCUGAAAUUAGAGAUAUCUGAUUUAACAUUUAUGAAACAGUCCCUAAAAACUUUGCCUGACUUUUCAAAACUUUCAUCCUCUCCAAAACCAUCUUUCCAGGCGGGUCUUCAUCCACAAUCUGCACCACUUUCUAAAAGAGAAAAAAAAAGGUGUGGGGGGUGGGGGGACUCACUUUCUAUUUCCAAGAAUCUGAGAAUCCACUCAAUCUCUUUUCCCUCAUGAGUAUUAGAGACUCUACCAACCAUAUGCUGCUAUCCAGUAUCCAAAUCGCCCAACAGCUUUGGUUGUGUGGUUGGAAGAGCUGUGCAGCUAAAGAAGUUUGGCGUAUGUCAACAAGACAUUAAAAGAUUUCGUUUCAAACUUGCACUUGAUACGAUUGAAUGGAUUAGAUUAACAUUAAAAGAUAAUCGAAAUUGUGUUUGCCUUUACAAAUAAUAGUUAUACGAUACAAUAAUUUUUGUGCUAUAUAUUUUAAUGAGACCCCCAUCCUUUAUUGUCUCUCACUGAAUGUAAUAUUUGGAUUGGGAAAAAAACUUCCAGUCAUGCAUACUAGGAAUUUGAUGAAAAUAUAUCUUAAAAACAACCCCCCCUAUAAGUUUUUUGGGGAAAGUAUCGUCUGGUAUUUAUUAAAUAUAUCUAAUAGAUGACAUUAUUAGUUCGCUUCUCAUAAAAGUGCUUCAGCAGUAAAGGGUUAAAUCCAUCCCAUUAAAUUUAAUUUAUAUAUUCCUAUAGAAAACAAGGUUUAAUUUUAGGUACAAGAAUAAACUGCUUGAUGACGUAGCAGAGACUUCCAGGUCUUAAAUAUGUCUACUGAAGAAAACAAGAAAAGCUGUGUUUCUUCAUCUGAUCUUUUUCCUGCCCUGUCUCCAUCUUGACAGUCAUCCAUCAUGGAGCAACAGAUGGAGCCACAACAGGAAAUUCCCACUAAGAGGAUUCGUCUUCCUUUGCCCAUCGCUGUGGACAUUUUUUGUGUGUGAACAAGCUCUUUCAUCAUGACCCAGCUCCUCUGGCUUACUGGAACAGGUUGUGGCGUUGCCGGUUAAGCCCUCUGAAACCCGCCCCUACCUGUGUUGACCUGCUUGGCAAACAAAAAUCCGCGACCAAGCCCGCUGAGAGCUACAUUUAAAGAGUCUGCCAGGUGCAAUUGGAAAGUCCUCGUAGUGUCUUGAAUCUCUGACCCCUGACCAAAAAUCUGCAUUAUGUGCCAGCUCUCUGUCUGUGAACAGCACAGUGUCAAGUAUACACACGUUGAGUAACACAAGAACAAGUGUGUACUUCACUGUGUCAGGUAAAUAGUAGUUACUGUCAUAAAACAAGAUACUCGAUAAAUGAAAAUAUUAAAAAAGUGCUGUUUUCCUGUAAAAACUGUUCACACUUAAAUAUAAUAAAAAUGAAAAAAAAAAAA